rnacentral:lncRNA from 1 species
CCAUCCUCAGUGUUUUAUAUGCCUGAUAAACCUGAAAAUAUUAAAUAUAAAAGAUAUCUACUCUGCAUUGAGUUUGUUCAAAAUGAGUUAGACCCUUGUUGAGAGAUUUAUCAUACUCCUAAGAUCAAGAUAUUUAUUCAGAAAGAUUCACUCUUCUGAAGUAUUAUUGCAUUAGAGGCAUGGGCUAUGCAAAAAUAAGGAUAUUUCGAGGAAAUAAAAAGGAGCAAGUGCUCGAUAACCUCGCAAGAAAAAAAUGUACAAGUGUCCGGC